UGAGAAGGUCACCAUGCCUAUUUUCCUCAGCAGUCCAUGCCCUCGUCCAAAUAGCCCAAGGAGUUAGGCUGGCACCAGUUUCAUCGCGAACGCUAUCUAGGGUGUUAAUCAUUGUCUGGUAAGUUGGAAGAGCCUCCUCUGUGAUCAUAUCUCCAACUAAUACAACAAAGUAGUCAUCAGGAAUUUCCUUGCACCUCUCCCGCAGCUCCUUAACUUGGUCUUCAAAUCCUUCUGAGGCAGGAUCAGGAAGAAAGUCACUGGCCUGCCAACACUUCUCGACAGGCUUUAGGUGCACCAAAAUAUUAUUCUCAGCCCAACCUUGCAGGGAAUCAAAGAUUUCACGCUUCUCUGGCGGCAUGGAAUGAGUAACUUGAACAUGCACCUCUCGUGGAGGACUAAAUGGCUUCUUAACAUUUCCACCUUCCACAGAAGGAGGACGAAGUGUUGAAGCCAUUAAAACUCUAUGAGAUCUGAGUGGUGAACACGGACGCCUAGUCGUUUGAAUUGACUGAAACGUCGGAGGAUUGAAAUUGAGAGCCAUUUUUCCGAUGGUUUUUCAGGGUACCUCGUUUGCUCCGCCUAAAGACACCAGAGAGAGAAGUGAAAAAG
rnacentral:misc_RNA from 1 species